rnacentral:rRNA from 1 species
GACGAACGCUGGCGGCGUGCCUAAUACAUGCAAGUAGAACGCACAGUUUAUACCGUAGCUUGCUACACCAUAGACUGUGAGUUGCGAACGGGUGAGUAACGCGUAGGUAACCUGCCUGGUAGCGGGGGAUAACUAUUGGAAACGAUAGCUAAUACCUCAUAAUAUUAAUUAUUGCAUGAUAAUUAAUUGAAAGGUUCAAUUGCACCACUACCAGAUGGGCCUGCGUUGUAUUAGCUAGUAGGUGAGGUAACGGCUCACCUAGGCGAAGAUACAUAGCCGACCUGGGAGGGUGAUCGGCCAAAAUGGGAAUGAGAAAAGGCCCAGAAUCCUAAGGGAGGCAGCAGGAGGGAAACUUCGGAAAUGGACGAAAGUCUGAACGAGCAAAGCCGCGUGAGUGAAGAAGGUUUUCGGAUCGUAAAGAUCUGUUGUAAGAGAAGAAAGGGUGUGAGAGUGGAAAGUUCACACUGUGACGGUAUCUUACCAGAAAGGGACGGCUAACUACGUG